UGAAAACGGAGCGAUCCGGAGUUUAUUACCCUACCAAAUAUAAUUAAACUUCAAUUCGGAAUAUUCCAGCAGUCGGCCUCUCAUGUAAAAUAUUCCUAAAAUGGGAAGACUUGCGCAAGGACAAGUCAAUAAUGUAAUUGACAUAGCCCAAAAGGACGAAUUUCAGCAACGUAGCUUGCAUCCUUUGCUGAGAAACAUUUAUGAUUCAUGUAUUUCUUAGAAUUCGUGGGUAUGCAAAUAGAGGAAGUAUUUGCCUCUGAAAGGAGAGCAUAUCAUGGUUAACCGUUCAGUUUAGUUUUAGUGGAAAGUUCGCCUAGCCAACCGAUGAACAGAGGACGUGAAGGUGACUCAUCGGCUUUGGAUGUUCUGAAAGCAUAGACAAGCCCAAAAAUAAAGGAAAUUCCAUACAAUAAUCAAAAAUCUCAAAAAUUUAACGAUAAGAGGAAGCCCAUCAAGGUCAAGGAUCAUUUCGAACUCGAUGGCCAUUACAAUUAUUAUAAAUAGACACACACUUUCAUCUAAACAUGGCAGAAAACAAGGAACUGUCCCAGACGACCAUUGCGUGAAUGAUGAAGAUUCCACAGAACAGUCUCGAUCUCUAUGACCGAAGACUUGGUAAUGGAUAUGGAAGUAAAGAAACACGCGCUACGAAGGUCUCCUGCACUUUUGCUCUUGUUUUCCAUCUUACAAGAAGACACGUUCGGUUCGUUAUGACGUUGGAGGUAAUAGGCAAACAAUUCUCAAUGUUUUCUAAUUAUGGUAUCAGCGUAGAUAAAGAUGCGAAAACAGUGAAUCGGUACAAUGAAUACAUUCAAGAUUUUGAAUCUGACUGGAAAAAAGUCCAGGUACAAACCGAGGUUUUUUUUGGAAAUUGAUAUGAUAACAGCGUAUUUAAAACUGUUGUUGUUGAAAACGGAUUGUCUGAUGGGAAAAAUUAGGAGUGGGUAAAAUACGGACGAAGCGAGCACCAGUAAACUAUGAGAAUAACGAAUACUGAAAACACUUAUUCAACCCUGAAUAAAUCUCAGAUAAGCACCCACGUUUCCGACCGCUCCAGGUUUCUGAGGGAACUGUGCAAUUGAACACCUGUUAAAUUUGUACAACACUUGGUUGGAGAACAGGGUUCGUCCGGAUUGCACUACUGCUGCUACUCCUUCCGCGGCGGUAUGUCCCGAAAGCCUUGUGAGAAAAAAUACACUGUGCACUGUAGCGAGGACUGGCUGCUGACUUUCGCACUGAUAUUUAAGAGACCCACAUUCGAUGCGUUUUCUUGAGUUUAAUUUGUUUUUUUUUUUUUUUUUGUGGGGGGAAAACCCGAGAACGCGUUUGGGACCAGCCACAAACAAGUACGGGGAUACUCUGCCACUGAUGUUACGACCGCACCGAGUGAAGUUUUGCUACGUUCUGCUGCCGCUGGUCAGAAACCUCGUACUGCCAUCCUUUCGUGCGAAUGCAACGCCAACCAGGACUCGGUUCGUGAACAAUCGGUCGAAACCACCGCCAGCAGGACGAGAGCGUGAGUUCCCCGCCGUGACACGAACGCUCGGGGUGACGUCAGAAAGAAAACACGCGUUCGAGCCUCACGCAGUUGUUACCCUAGUGCCACGGUAGCCCAGUUGUGGAAGCGUAUCUCCGCGGAUGAACACCAGCUAUUACUGUUCAGCGAGUUUCAUCGGAAAAGUGGCGAGGCACGAAGUGGAGACAGUUUUCCCGAACGAAAUCUCUACACGACAACGGGGGGCAAUACGUUCGGCGAAACAUGCGCGCAGGACCUCCAGCCUCGCUCUCGCUCUCUUAUCUGCACUUCCGAGCCGAGCGGUGGUAACUCAGGGUGCUCCCUCUCUAUUUCGACCGGGGCAGACAGUAGUUCGUCGGUCCCUAGACGCCACUUGAUAAUGUAUACAGUGCCUCUGUCAGAAAUAAUCAAUCCUACAGAAGGGAUUGAUAAAAUUGCCACACCACCCACGCAUACAACCUCAGUGUAUCUAGGAAUUGUUCGAGUGCCGCUUGUGGCAGUAACAAAUAUUACUAAAACACACCGAAACUGUGGUAGUAUGUGGAAAUCGUACAUUUCGUUAGGGAUCAGAGCCAAAAAAAAAGAAACAUUCCUCCCGUUCCUCCUCGUCCUGCUAGCGCUAGUGGUGGUGGUGAUGGCACCGAGAGACUUCAUCUUCGAAAAACCUACUGGCACAGAAAAUUAGUCUGAUAAAACACCGCGCCCACCCUAUCUAUUCCCUCGCCACCCGGCCAAUAGCAGCUACAACGACUCGAGCCGGUCGGUUUUCCCUUGGGGCUAACCCUUGAAAAGCACCACUGAAAACAGCGGCCGCUGCCGCUACUGCUAUCCCUGUUUUUUAACAUGUGGAUUAUGUUUCACCCAAUUUUGGCUCAUGCAGGGCGAAAACGCUUUAACUUGUUUAAACUCAGUGGGAUGUUCACGGAAAGGAAAAUCGCUCUAAUCAGCAAGGAUUUUUUGGUUAAAUAUUCAAACAACAAAUAGAAGAUUCACACGCAGAAUAGUAAAAAAAAAUCGAUUCGUUAUCCAAUGAUAGAAUUUUUAUUCAGGAAAUCAUAACUUGAAUUUUCCCUGAAACAUUCCGUGUGGUGCGCGUCAAUAAAUUGUUAGUUAGGAAAGCGUUGAUCACUAGAACCGACAGAUACAAGAGAGGAAUAUAAAUAAAAUAUGGUUUGUUUGUGUCACAAAAUGUCACUACUUUUAAGUGGAAAUUCUGACUAUUGUUUAUGAAAUAAAUAUCUUUGGAUGCUGGGACCAACACUAAUAUUGUGCAUUGUUUUCUUUGAACAAUUCAGAGAUCCAAGAGAAACAAAUUGGAAUAAUUAUCAUUCCAAACUUCAGGAGAAUGUUGAUAUCAGUGGAAAACAUUUCUUCCACUGUACAGCUUGAACAGCAUAGUUUCAUCAGAGCUUGAAACCAAUAUUAAAUCUACCUUUGGAGUAAACUGUCCACUGAAGCGGAAAACUUCAAGUAAGGAUGCAUCAUG